rnacentral:tRNA from 1 species
GCAGAUGUACCCAAGUGGCUCAAGGGGCUCCCCUGCUAAGGGAGUAGACUGGGAUAACCGGUGCGAGAGUUCGAAUCUCUCCAUCUGCG